CUGCCAACUGAAGCGUUUCACAACCAUGACAUGUUGUCACUUUGGUUUCAGAUAUUUCCUGCUAGCUAGCCUUGCCGCUAUCUUCCUCAUUUUAGCUUCCUCUUUGUGUCAAGGCUUAGUUAUUAACGAUCAGAUGUUUUGUCAGAUGCACAGUAUCAUCAGCGUCUCUGUCCCUGUUUGGUCAAAGGAGAGAACUCGACGAAGGAAUCAUUGGGGCAUGCACUAUACAUCCACCUUUUCAACUAGAGGUCCGAUCACAAAGGUGGUAAGAGUAGGCAACAAGACGUCGCCACACUGAUCCUUAACACUGGGGCCCCUCAGGGGUGUGUACUUAGUCCGCCCCUGUACUCCCUGUUCACCCACAACUGCGUGGCCUAACAAGACUCAAACACCGCCAUUAAGUUUGCUGACGACACAACAGCGGUAGGUCUGAUCACCGACAACGAUGAGACGGCCUAUAGGGAGGAGGUCAGAGAACUGGCAGUGUGGUGCCAGGACAACUACCUCUCCCUCAAUGUGAUCAAGACAAAGGAGCUGAUCGUGGACUACAGGAAAAGGCAGGCUGAACACGCCUCCAUUCUCAUCAACGGGGUUGUAGUGGAGAGG
rnacentral:lncRNA from 1 species